rnacentral:rRNA from 1 species
GCUGGAAUCGCUAGUAAUCGCAGGUCAGCAUACUGCGGUGAAUACGUUCCCGGGUCUUGUACACACCGCCCGUCACACCAUGGGAGCCGGAAAUGCCCGAAGCCAGUGACCCAACCUUAGGGAGGGAGCUGUCGAAGGUGGAGCCAGUAACUGGGGUGAAGUCGUAACAAGGUAUC